rnacentral:rRNA from 1 species
AGUGAACGCUGGCGGUAGGCCUAACACAUGCGAGUCGAACGGCAGCACAGUAAGAGCUUGCUCUUACGGGUGGCGAGUGGCGGACGGGUGAGGAAUACAUCGGAAUCUACUUUUUCGUGGGGGAUAACGUAGGGAAACUUACGCUAAUACCGCAUACGACCUACGGGUGAAAGCAGGGGAUCUUCGGACCUUGCGCGAUUGAAUGAGCCGAUGUCGGAUUAGCUAGUUGGCGGGGUAAAGGCCCACCAAGGCGACGAUCCGUAGCUGGUCUGAGAGGAUGAUCAGCCACACUGGACCUGAGCCACGGUCCAGACUCCUACGGGAGGCAGCAGUGGGGAAUAUUGGACAAUGGGCGCAAGCCUGAUCCAGCCAUACCGCGUGGGUGAAGAAGGCCUUCGGGUUGUAAAGCCCUUUUGUUGGGAAAGAAAAGCAGCAGGUUAAUACCCCGCUGUUCUGACGGUACCCAAAGAAUAAGCACCGGCUAACUUCGU